AACCAGGUGGGAUGAUCACAAAGUAUUCUCACCUCACUCUGGAUGAUCGACUGUUUAUUGGCUGUGGCUGAGGGGGUGCACGUCUGCAGGUCAACAACCCCUUCCUUUCUUCCUUCAAUGACUUCCUCAGGAUUAUUCGACGAUGGCCAAAAAGGUGUUGUCAGUUUCCCCCUAUCCAAGGAGAGGUCUCUACACAGAAUGGACAUCUUCCUUCAGCUCCCAGCAGAGAAGUUUCAGUUCUCAUUUCAUCGCCGCUGACAACGCAAUUCAUCACUCCGAGGUCUGCAUGAAUGCCUUCUUUAAACAAUGCCAGUGCAUCAUUGCUCAAAGACUAAAAGAAUGAGCACUGCAUACCAACCGAAACUAUCUACAUUUCAUCUCGUCCUUCUUUUCUCCCUUUUUCCCUCUCGCCAAAAUGAAGCUGUCUCGCUUGUGUUUCUGUCUGCUCAUGCCCCUGCUCUGCUCAAGGACAUGAAUGAAACUGAAUAAAACAUGACUGGCAUCUUGUCAUCUCAGAGAGCACGGGCUGAAGAUGGGAAGGGAAAUAGAAAAUCUCACCUCUGUUUGUUUGUCAGUAUGGAUAUAAGGGGGGACAAAAAUGUGUAACCACACAUGGACGAAGUCUGAACCUAUUUUUUUUUAGCGAUGUAAAAGGAUUUGGAAGCGCUUGAUGUAACAUCGAGUAAAAAGAGUUCAUUACCCAUUUGCCAGCGCCCGCCCUUCUUUUAUCGCACCGAUCAGUGGUUACUUAAGCUUUUACAUCAAAUCUGUGGAUCCUUUGAUUGCCCAGCCAAUUGCUCUGCCUUGUCAGGGCUCUGUUAAUAGUAAUCCUUUAUGUCUCGGUAAUCACAAGGUAAUCUUCUGAUCUUAAUUCAACACUGAUCUUUUCCCUCGUUGAUCAUUCUCUCUCUUCUAUCCCCAACUCCUCCAUCAGUAAUUUCUUCAGGCUCUUUGCUCUAACUCUUCACUCUGUUUUAUUUCUUUUGCUUCCAGAUACAUCAGACAGAAAAGUGCUCAUACACUCCAUCUCUGCAACCACCCUCUGAGCUGUAGGGGCUUGAUCUAUGGUUUUACACCAGGUCUUGUGGCCCAAUUCCCAUCUCUGUAGUCACUAUAGUACACUAUAGUUAAGAUGAUACUGACAAGCUGCACACACACACGUGCUGGGGUAAGUGGAUGCACACACAACUGAAUUGGACAGAAGAGAUUCACCCUUUGUGAAUAGUUUAAUUAGACCAACUGUGUUUCUAAAGACAUUUUCAAAAAGCUUUUGCCUAUAAAAUCAAAUUUGCUUGUAAAAUCUAAUUACAUAUCAAAAUGUUUCUACAGCCAUUAUCAAGUGCUUAUUAUAGCAGU